UUAAAAAAACCAGAUAUACUCUUUCUUUCUCUUGCUUUCAUUUCCACGAUCUUUCCUCCUAUCUCAUCUGAUCUGCCUCUCUCUCUCUCCUCCAUUGAAGCAUACUCGAAUUUCUCCAUUGAAGAGGCUUCUGAGCUUUCUCUAAGGACUUUCCUCAAACUCCUUCUCUCUCCUUCUCCAUAACCGCCACUUUCCCUUUCCUUUCUUCUCUUCAAUAUCCUUCUACUUCUCUCUUUCUACAAUAUUGGAGGUUAUGGUUUCAGGGUUCGUCUAUUUUGAAUCAAAUCGAUGUGCGUGCAUCUUCAACAACAACGAAUUCGAAUCAAUUUCGAACCAAAAAUCAGAAAUUCGAGAAAUGGGACUCAAGUUGCGCAUGGACUUACCUGAGCAGGCAAUGGAAGUGACAACAGUAUUCUUUCGUACCUCAACUCCCGCAAGUGAAGCUGUUGAAACAUUGAAGAAUUUCUUAGAAGAAAGAGCAAAAAAAAUUAAAGCCUUACAAGAAAAAAUGAAGCUUGAUGACAAAGAAGCUAAAUAAUUUAGUCCUGUUGAUGCCUUUCCUGGGGAUAUAGUGAUUUUUGCACGGGUGCUAAAUCUUUUGAGAGUAUCUUACAGUGAGAAAAGCAUCAUGCUAUGGACUAUUUGAAUCAAGCUAAUGGAAUUCGGUUUAAUGGAAGGCUGUUAUUUGGGAAUUGAGCUAUUUGAAUCAAGCUAAUGGGAUUAUGUGGAAAUUUAUGCAUGACAAGGUGAUGCUUGGUUCUUUUAGUUUUAAUUUGAUUGCUUGAUUUAUCAGGAAGUUGAGGGGAACUAUAACCCAGUGUAAUUACUUUGGUUAGCUGGGUAAUGCAUAAGCUGAAGUUAAAGUUCUAUGACACCCUAUGAUUUAUUUUGAUGGGAGUUGUUAUUGAAAUAGUCACAAUUUGGGAAAAAAACAGUCCAAUAGCAAGUCUGUUUUGUCUAAAUUCAAGAGGCAAAUAUUGUUGGGAAAAUUUUGGAUAAUAUAUCUGGGAACUUUGACAGUAUAUGUUUCAACAGUAUAUUAAAACGUUUGAAGGUAUAUAUUUAUUAGACCCUAGAUAGGAAUUAAGAUGUUGUGCUGAAAUUCUAUGUUUUUAAUUCUGCCUAUAAUUACAUUCCUCCUGCCUUACUUUCAAGUUUGCUCUCUGCAAGAUGAAUUAGCAUAGAAAACAGACACAUCUGCAUCACCACCAAGAACAAGCCUAGCAACACAUCAGCUCAGCAUCACAGCUCCUUAGAAAACCAGCAACAUGGCUGCAAAAGGAAAACAGACCGCAGCACAGUAGUAUCAACACAGCAAACUUCUCAACAAACCAAAACAAGAUCCAAGUGUACUAGUCAGCAUUCAACUGAAAUCUCAAGUGUUUUUUUUUUUUU